GACGAACGCUGGCGGCGUGCUUAACACAUGCAAGUCGAACGGAAAGGCCCUGCUUUUGUGGGGUGCUCGAGUGGCGAACGGGUGAGUAACACGUGAGUAACCUGCCCUUGACUUUGUGAUAACUUCAGGAAACUGGGGCUAAUACCGGAUAGGAGCUCCUGCUGCAUGGUGGGGGUUGGAAAGUUUCGGCGGUUGGGGCUGGACUCGCGGCUUACCAGCUUGUUGGUGGGGUAGUGGCUUACCAAGGCUUUGACGGGUAGCCGGCCUGAGAGGGUGACCGGCCACAUUGGGACUGAGAGACGGCCCAGACUCCUACGGGAGGCAGCAGUGGGGAAUAUUGCACAAUGGGCGGAAGCCUGAUGCAGCAACGCCGCGUGCGGGAUGACGGCCUUCGGGUUGUAAACCGCUUUCGCCUGUGACGAAGCGUGAGUGACGGUAAUGGGUAAAGAAGCACCGGCUAACUACGUG
rnacentral:rRNA from 1 species